UCUCAAAUCAUGAAGCUUCAUCAGACGGUGAAAGCUUUCACUUUAAGCAAACUAGUCCUGAGUUUAGAGGAAGCUGCUGUCUGCUGAGCCGCCUCACUUCCUUCCUGUCGCUGCGUCCAACGACACCCACAGACUCUCUUCACCACCAACAAAAACGUCUCCGCCAGAAGUUGACUUCACACCCGCAGAAGUCUGGAGGCCUUUUCUGUGCAGUCAGACUCUUUAACGCAGAGAUGACGAACGGCUGUAAAUCUUCUCUGACGGAGAGACGAGUGAAGCUCCUGGAAGGGAAAGUCCUUCAGAGGAGGACAGGAAGGAGACGGCUCCGUUUAGAGAUCCUCUCUGUGUGAACUGGAACACAAACUGGAUUAAUUAAACAUUUGUCUGAAGCAUAAAUAGCUUUUGAACUGCAGCAAAGAGGACAGAAGUCAGCGAGGCGUGGAAAACCUUUUGUGAUUGGACGCCCUUCAGUGACUGGAUGCUCCUGCGGUUCUGCUGCUCUCUGAGCUCUUCUGGGGCGUCUGCAGCUGUUGUUCAUGAAAACAUCACAGGUCCUGGAGACGUUUUAAAAAGAAAGCAAACUAGACGGAGUGUGAUCCACAUCUCGAGUUUAUUCUUUUUUGCUAAAAUCCCCAAAUAUUCCUGGUUGUAGCUGAGAUGUAGAGACCUCCACCAUGGAGGGCGGGAGAGGUGCUGCUGCUUAAACGAGGGCUGGAAACGAGUCGUGUGGGCUGACUUCUGCAGAUUUCCUCCGUCUUUCUGCUUCACUUUAUAUGACUCGAGCAACAAACCAUCAGCAGGUGGUUUAUGUGUGGAAAUCUUCUCACCUGGAAGUUCAGUCCACCUGAGAAUAUCCCAAAUGUGGGCUGGGAAUCCAUUUUAAUUAACGAAUUAAUCGCAAAUCUGGAAAAAAUGUAUCACAAUUAAUCUGCAUUGAUUUUUUGUUUUUGUUACAAUAUUUGCCACUCACUUAUUAUCUACAAAUAAUUACAAUAUAAAAUGACAUUUAAAAAUGUAAAUUUAUAAUAUUUCUAACCUUUUGGUAACUAUAGGACCUGAAACUUUUUGUCUAUAUUUGAUUUUCUUUAUUUUCAAUUUGAAAGACUACCGGCUUCCUUAUUUGGUAUCAUUUUAACCAUUAAACUGCACCUAUGUAAAUUA